rnacentral:rRNA from 1 species
AUUGAACGCUGGCGGCAUGCCUUACACAUGCAAGUCGAACGGCAGCACGGGAGCAAUCCUGGUGGCGAGUGGCGAACGGGUGAGUAAUAUAUCGGAACGUGCCCGGUCGUGGGGAUAACGUAGCGAAAGCUACGCUAAUACCGCAUACGAUCUACGGAUGAAAGCGGGGGAUCGCAAGACCUCGCGCGAUUGGAGCGGCCGAUAUCAGAUUGGGUAGUUGGUGAGGUAAAGGCUCACCAAGCCGACGAUCUGUAGCUGGUCUGAGAGGACGACCAGCCACACUGGGACUGAGACACGGCCCAGACUCCUACGGGAGGCAGCAGUGGGGAAUUUUGGACAAUGGGCGCAAGCCUGAUCCAGCAAUGCCGCGUGCAGGAUGAAGGCCUUCGGUU